CGCAGGCUACUAACCCCAAGAUUCGGAGUUCAAUUCCAGGCAGUGACCUGAAUAAUAAUAAUAAUAAUAAUAAUAAUAAUAAUAAUAAUAAUAAUAAUAGGAAUGAUAACCCAGGUUCAAAAUUACCCCAGGACAUUUGAGGAAUAGGAUGGGCAAAGUUCAGCGAGCUACUACAUUUGUUAGUAAUGAAGGCCCUCUCUCUCAGAGUGAAAGGCAGAUUGUAUGAUGUCUGUGUUUGAACAGCUAUGCUACAUGGCAGUGAGACUUGGGCUGCAACUACUGAGGAUAUGCAAAGGCUUGAAAGAAACGAAGCCAGUAUGCUCCAAUGAAUGGGUAAUGCCAGUGUGCGUAUACGACAGUGUAAGUGAUGAGAGAAAACUGGGUGUACAAAGCAUCAGAUGUAGCAUGCAAGAGAGAAGACUGUGCUGGCAUGGCCAUGUAAUGCGUAUGAAUGAAGACAGCUACAUCAAGAAGUACUGACCUCAAACUGUAGAGGGAACGUGGGGAAGGGGUAGAUCCAGGAAGAUGUUGGAUGAAAUGGUGAGAAAGGAUCUACAGACAUUGGGACUCACAGAGGGGAAGAUAGGGGAUUGAGGCUCCUGGUGUUUUGUUGUGCUUGAGAAGACACAUCAAGCUAAGUAAAAGCAUGGUUAUCCUUGCAUACAGAUUGUUUCUUGCAUCCCUUUCCAGUUGAGCAUUCCUAACCUUGCAGGCUCAUGGGUGCUGGUGCUGUGUAAGAAGCACCCAUACUAUUGCCACAUAAAUGCACUGAUAUCAGUGCUGCAUAAAAGCAUCCAGCACAUUCUGUAAAGUGAUUGGAGUUAGGAAGAGCAUCCGGCCGUAGAAACCAUGCCAAGACAGACAUGGAGCCUGGGCAGCUACUAUCAAACCAUCCAACUCAUGCUAAUAUGGAAAACAAAUGUUAAAUAAAGAUGGAUGAUUAUAUAUAUAUAAGAUAUUACAAGAAGCAUAAGUUUAUAUCAUAUGCUUCAUCACUGUGGUUGUUAAGAACUCUGCAUUGGAUGUUCCAAGUGAAAUUGGAUGCUUAACUGCGACAGAACUAAUGUCAGACAUUACUUCUCUGUAACAUAAUCUAAUAAAGCUUUCCUUGAUGAUCUCUUGUGGUUAAGCAUUCAGUUACCUUUGAAUAUCCAAUGCAAAGUUCUAAACAACCACAAUGAUGAAACAUUUAUAGGAACAAAUAAAAUAAACUUGUUUUUCAUAAUUUCUUGUACAUUUGCUCUGUAUAUCAUAACUAGUAAUACUACUAAGUAUAGUAGUUGUUUAACCACUACACUGGAAGCAAACUAGAUGAUGGUAAUCCAUGUAGAGCUCUGAACUGAACAGUAGCAGUCAUAAAUCUGUUAGUACAUACAAGAUACACACACACACACUAUCAUCAUCAUCAUUGUCGUUUAACAUCCGCUUUCCAUGCUGGCAUGGCUUGGAUGGUUUUACUGAGGGCUGGCAAGCCAGAAGGCUGGACAAGGCUCCAAUCUGAUCUGGCAGUUUCUCCAGCUGAGUGCCCUUCCUAACAGCAACCAGUUUGAGAGUGUAGUAGGGUAUAUAUAUGUAAUUAUAUAUAUAUAAUGAUGAUGAUCAUCAUCAUCAUAGGUAUCAGCUUGUUAGCUGACUAUGACCAUCACUGACAAGUUAUGUUUCUGGGGUAUUUUUUGAUGGUUAUAGGACCUACAAUGGCUUUUAAAGCCUGCGAAUGACUUGGAUUUUUGUAGCAGAUGCAGUAUUCAUUUUUAAUAGAGUUGUUCUGUACAGCACUUUGUGUAAUUUCAUGUCUUGUGAGUCCAGGUCAGUUGUAAAAUUCCCUACUACAUUGACACAUACACAUGCAUAUAUGAUGUGCUUCUUUCUACCAGAUCCACUCACAAGGCUUUGAUUGACCUAGGGCUAUAUUAGAAGACACUGGCCUGAAGUAGAGUGCAGUGAGACUGAACCCGAGACCAUAAAUGCCUGAUAAAAUGAAGGGCAAUUUAGCAUAUAGAAUAAUGUAAUACAUUGAGUGCAAAUAAAUUGCUAUGCUAUUGAAACAUUUGUAGAGUAAAAUGAAUUGUUGAAUGUC